UCNCUAGUAACUGCGAGUGAAGCGGGAAGAGCUCAAAUUUAAAAUCUGGCAGCCUUUGGCUGUCCGAGUUGUAAUUUAGAGAAGUGUUACCCGUGCUGGACCGUAUACAAGUCCUCUGGAAUGGGGCGUCAUAGAGGGUGAGAAUCCCGUCUUUGAUACGGACUACCAGUGCUUUGCGGUGCGCUCUCGAAGAGUCGAGUUGUUUGGGAAUGCANCUCAAAAUGGGUGGUAAAUUCCAUCUAAAGCUAAAUAUAGGCGAGAGACCGAUAGCNAANNNGUACCGUGAGGGAAAGAUGAAAAGAACUUUGGAAAGAGAGUUAAACAGUACGUGAAAUUGCUGAAAGGGAAACGCUUGAAGUCAGUCGCGUCGUUCAAGAAUCAGCCUCGCUUUUGCUUGGUGCACUUCUUGUUCGACGGGUCAGCAUCAGUUUUGACCACUGGAUAAAGGCUAGGGAAAUGUGGCAUCUCCGGAUGUGUUAUAGUCUCUUGUCGUAUACAGUGGUUAGGACUGAGGAACUCAGCACGCCGCAAGG
rnacentral:rRNA from 1 species